AUUGAACGCUGGCGGCAGGCUUUACACAUGCAAGUCGAGCGGGGUGAUGGUGCUUGCACUAUCACUUAGCGGCGGACGGGUGAGUAAUGCUUAGGAAUCUGCCUAUUAGUGGGGGACAACAGCUCGAAAGGGAUGCUAAUACCGCAUACGUCCUACGGGAGAAAGCAGGGGAUCACUUGUGACCUUGCGCUAAUAGAUGAGCCUAAGUCGGAUUAGCUAGUUGGUGGGGUAAAGGCCUACCAAGGCGACGAUCUGUAGCGGGUCUGAGAGGAUGAUCCGCCACACUGGGACUGAGACACGGCCCAGACUCCUACGGGAGGCAGCAGUGGGGAAUAUUGGACAAUGGGGGGAACCCUGAUCCAGCCAUGCCGCGUGUGUGAAGAAGGCCUUAUGGUUGUAAAGCACUUUAAGCGAGGAGGAGGCUCUUUUGGUUAAUACCCAAGAUGAGUGGACGUUACUCGCAGAAUAAGCACCGGCUAACUCUGUGCCAGCAGCCGCAGUAA
rnacentral:rRNA from 1 species